GUGCUUACUUCAGCAGCACAUAUACUAUAAGUGGAAUAAUACAGAGAUGAUUAGCAUGGCUCCUGCACAAGGGUGACACAAAUUUCUGAAGCAUUCCAUAUUUUU
ensembl:snRNA U6 U6 spliceosomal RNA